AGAGUUUGAUCCUGGCUCAGGACGAACGCUGGCGGCGCGCCUAACACAUGCAAGUCGAACGAGCGAGAGAGAGCUUGCUUUCUCGAGCGAGUGGCGAACGGGUGAGUAACGCGUGAGGAACCUGCCUCAAAGAGGGGGACAACAGUUGGAAACGACUGCUAAUACCGCAUAAGCCCACGGGUCGGCAUCGACCAGAGGGAAAAGGAGCAAUCCGCUUUGAGAUGGCCUCGCGUCCGAUUAGCUAGUUGGUGAGGUAACGGCCCACCAAGGCGACGAUCGGUAGCCGGACUGAGAGGUUGAACGGCCACAUUGGGACUGAGACACGGCCCAGACUCCUACGGGAGGCAGCAGUGGGGAAUAUUGCACAAUGGGGGAAACCCUGAUGCAGCGACGCCGCGUGGAGGAAGAAGGUUUUCGGAUUGUAAACUCCUGUCGUUAGGGACGAUAAUGACGGUACCUAACAAGAAAGCACCGGCUAACUACGUGCCAGCAGCCGCGGUAAAACGUAGGGUGCAAGCGUUGUCCGGAAUUACUGGGUGUAAAGGGAGCGCAGGCGGACCGGCAAGUUGGAAGUGAAAACUAUGGGCUCAACCCAUAAAUUGCUUUCAAAACUGCUGGCCUUGAGUAGUGCAGAGGUAGGUGGAAUUCCCGGUGUAGCGGUGGAAUGCGUAGAUAUCGGGAGGAACACCAGUGGCGAAGGCGACCUACUGGGCACCAACUGACGCUGAGGCUCGAAAGCAUGGGUAGCAAACAGGAUUAGAUACCCUGGUAGUCCAUGCCGUAAACGAUGAUUACUAGGUGUUGGAGGAUUGACCCCUUCAGUGCCGCAGUUAACACAAUAAGUAAUCCACCUGGGGAGUACGACCGCAAGGUUGAAACUCAAAGGAAUUGACGGGGGCCCGCACAAGCAGUGGAGUAUGUGGUUUAAUUCGAAGCAACGCGAAGAACCUUACCAGGUCUUGACAUCCGAUGCAUAGUGCAGAGAUGCAUGAAGUCCUUCGGGACAUCGAGACAGGUGGUGCAUGGUUGUCGUCAGCUCGUGUCGUGAGAUGUUGGGUUAA
rnacentral:rRNA from 1 species